rnacentral:lncRNA from 1 species
ACGUUGAACCAUCUUUUCUGAACUGAUGUGUUUAUAAAUGUAGAUGACAAGAACCCAUGGUUCAGAGUGGCUUUGUACUGUCCGUUUUGUUGGAAUUUAGGAGAAAUCUCUGCCACUCUGUCAAGUAUCUGUUCAGGAUAUAGAAGUGUUGCUUGGAGUCCUGCUUGAGAAUAAGUAACCCAGAAUUGUGCUCCUGGUGGCAUGCCCACAGUCACAGGUGUGCUGUGUCCUGGUGGCAUGCCCUCUUGGUGACAUACCCACAGCCACGGGUGUGCUGUUCUAAGUCUCCAAGCUCCACGUUAAGAUGACCACGUGUAGACACUAAAGUGGACGACACAGGAAGUGCACUAAUGCAAGUGGUGUUCCUGACGCAAAAAGGAAGUGACACAUCGAUGCAUCCUUUAAGCCCCUCUUUUUACACACGCUUCAAGGAUCAUAACACAUAAAUCUAAGAAUGAGUAUUUUUCUUUUAUCUCAACAGAUUGGUAACUAUGCACAACUAAUUUUUUUAAUGAAAAAAAUAUUCUGAAUAAAUGGUGUGGUUGAAACAUGUGUACAGCAGUCACUUAAAGUCAUAUUUCUCUGUUUAAAUUUAUGUUCAUAUCCCAUGACGUCAAGGGAAACCUAAAGGAAAGUUGGUGCUCGUGAUGAAAAUAAGAAUUUCAAAGGAUUAGUCCUUGAAGUGCUAUGUGGACUUGUUUUACAUUAUUGGUACUGGAACCUCUACCAGGUAGGUGACAGUGGCUGUCAAAGCACUACGUCCUGUACCAGGUAGGUGACAUUGGCUGUCAGAGCACCAUGUCCUGUACCAGGUAGGUGACAUUGGCUGUCAGAGCACUAUGUCCUGUACCAGGUAGGUGACAGUGGCUGUCAGAGCACUACGUCCUGUCUCAGGUAGGUGACAGUGGCUGUCAGAGCACUACGUCCUGUACCAGGUAGGUGACAGAUUAUUGUCAGUGCACUGUGUCCUCCCCGUUCUGCCUCCUUGUCUCACAGUUUCUUUGCAUUGUGGGCACCACCUGCUGGCCCCAGGCCCCUGGCACAUAUAAUCACAUAACUCUUGGCUGGUUACUGUCACACCACCUCUAGUUGGAUCUGUGUGACAAGUUCCACAGACUGAAGCGAUCGACCUCAAAAGGGGGAGGCCUCCUGGAACCAGUUGUGGGACGCUUCGCCAGAGAAAAAAUAUUGAGCCGUAGUUCUCAUGGCAAUCUAUCUGUUUUGUUUUCUCUUAUUCCUUUUCUUAUUUACAUGUUCCUGGUAGCCUAGCCUAAGAUCUUAAGCGAGAAUGAUGGGUAAGACAUGGGGCUACUAACAUGACCUUAUCCCCAGGGAAACCAAUGCUUUACUUUCUAAAUCAUUUACAAAACUAUGAUGAUAAAAACUUUCCCAACAAUAAAAUUUCUUAUGGCUACAUGUGUCAUCGGAGGUGGAUUUUGGUAUAUGGUG